UAUAUUUUAGUAUAUUAUGUACAGAAGUUUUUGAGACUUAAAGAAGUAGUUAAAACCUAUUAUAUAUAU
rnacentral:tRNA from 1 species